UACGAAGGGGGCUAGCGUUGUUCGGAAUCACUGGGCGUAAAGCGCUCGUAGGCGGAUCUUUAAGUCAGAGGUGAAAUCCCAAGGCUCAACCCUGGAACUGCCUUUGAUACUGGGGAUCUCGAGUCCGGGAGAGGUGAGUGGAACUGCGAGUGUAGAGGUGAAAUUCGUAGAUAUUCGCAAGAACACCAGUGGCGAAGGAGGCUCACUGGGCCGAUACUGACGCUGAGGUGCGAAAGCGUGGGGAGCAAACAGG
rnacentral:rRNA from 1 species